rnacentral:rRNA from 1 species
GUUGAACGCUGGCGGCGUGCUUAACACAUGCAAGUCGAACGGAAAGGCUCCUGCUUGCAGGGGCACUCGAGUGGCGAACGGGUGAGUAACACGUGGGAGAUCUGCCCUGCACUUCGGGAUAAGCCUGGGAAACUGGGUCCAAUACCGGAUAGGUCCAUCGUAUAGCGUGGGUGAUGGAAAGAUUGUUCGGUGUGGGAUGAGUUCGCGGCCUAUCAGCUUGUUGGUGAGGUAUUGUCAGACCAAGGCGUCGACGGGUAGCCGGCCUGAGAGGGUGUACGGCCACAUGGGGACUAAGAUACGGACCAGACUCCUACGGGAGGCAGCAGGGGAGAAUAUGGCACAAUGGGCGCAAGCGUGAUGCAGCGGCGCCGCGUGGGGGAUGACGGCCUUCGGGUUGUAAACUCCUUUCGCCAGGGACGAAGCGAAAGUGACGGUACCUGGAUAGGAAGCACCGGCUAACUACGUG